GUGCUUACUUUGGCAGCACAUAUGCUAAAAUGGAAUGAUACAGAGAUUAGCAUCCCCCUGUGCAAGAAUGACAUGCAAAUUUGUGAAGGGUUUCAUAUUUUA
rnacentral:snRNA from 1 species